rnacentral:rRNA from 1 species
CAUGCCUUGAGUGGGGGACAACAGUUGGAAACGACUGCUAAUACCGCAUAAUGUCUACGGACCAAAGGGGGCUUCGGCUCUCGCCUUUAGAUUGGCCCAAGUGGGAUUAGCUAGUUGGUGAGGUAAUGGCUCACCAAGGCGACGAUCCCUAGCUGGUUUGAGAGGAUGAUCAGCCACACUGGGACUGAGACACGGCCCAGACUCCUACGGGAGGCAGCAGUGGGGUAAUAUUGCACAAUGGGCGCAAGCCUUGAUGCAGCCAUGCCGCGUGUGUUGAAGAAGGCCUUUCGGGUUGUAAAGCACUUUCAGUCAGGAGGAAAGGUUAACGGUUAAUACCCGUUAGCUGUGACGUUACUGACAGAAGAAGCACCGGCUAACUCCGUGCCAGCAGCCGCGGUAA